AUUUAUGUCUACUCUUGCAAUGUAUCAUUUCUUACUACCCACCAUUCAUCAUCCUCUUCAAGAAAACUCCUCUGUUUGCUUUUUUUUUCCUUCUCUCUGCUUGGUUACUUGUUAAUAAACAGGAAUGGGUGCAAGGAAAGGUUGUUGGAUACUAUUCAAACAGAAAAAGAAACCCAAAGAAGAUAAAUCCCAAGAAGAAAAGGUAAACCCUACCGAAGAAAGGAUAAACGAAGAAUCCAUGAAUGGAAAGCAAAGCAGUAAUGAAGAGUCAAGUAGCAUGAUCCCUAAUGAAGGUGGUUUGAUAAUGGACAGAACAGUUCCUUCAAGGUUGAUUGAUAAUAUUGCUGCUACAAGGAUCCAAAAUGCAUUUCGCUCUUUUA